GAUGAACGCUGGCGGCGUGCUUAACACAUGCAAGUCGAGCGAAGCACUUAAGUUCGAUUCUUCGGAUGAAGACUUUUGUGACUGAGCGGCGGACGGGUGAGUAACGCGUGGGUAACCUGCCUCAUACAGGGGGAUAACAGUUAGAAAUGGCUGCUAAUACCGCAUAAGACCACGGUACCGCAUGGUACAGUGGUAAAAACUCCGGUGGUAUGAGAUGGACCCGCGUCUGAUUAGGUAGUUGGUGAGGUAACGGCUCACCAAGCCGACGAUCAGUAGCCGACCUGAGAGAGUGACCGGCCACAUUGGGACUGAGACACGGCCCAGACUCCUACGGGAGGCAGCAGUGGGGAAUAUUGCACAAUGGGCGAAAGCCUGAUGCAGCGACGCCGCGUGAAGGAUGAAGUAUUUCGGUAUGUAAACUUCUAUCAGCAGGGAAGAAAAUGACGGUACCUGACUAAGAAGCCCCGGCUAACUACGUGCCAGCCGCCGCAGUAA
rnacentral:rRNA from 1 species